rfam:Brachypodium distachyon strain Bd21 chromosome 5, whole genome shotgun sequence.
CAACUACUCCCUCCGUUCCAAAUUAAGUGACGAGAUAUUACAUGUAUCUAAACGUUUUUUGGUUAUAGAUACAUUCAUAUUUAGACAAAUUUGAGUCACUUAAUAUGGGACGGGGGAGUAUAUG